CCUACGGGAGGCUGCAGUGGGGAAUAUUGCGCAAUGGGCGAAAGCCUGACGCAGCGACGCCGCGUGAGGGAUGAAGGUCUUCGGAUCGUAAACCUCUGUCAGCAGGGAAGAACGGUCACUGUGCUAAUCAACAGUGAAUUGACGGUACCUGCAAAGGAAGCACCGGCUAACUCCGUGCCAGCAGCCGCGGUAAUACGGAGGGUGCGAGCGUUAAUCGGAAUUACUGGGCGUAAGGCGCUCGUAGGCGGUAUGUCAAGUCAAGGGUGAAAUCCCCGCGCUCAACGUGGGAACUGCCUUUGAAACUGGCAAGCUGGAGUGUGUGAGAGGAGAGUAGAAUUCCAGGUGUAGGGGUGAAAUCCGUAGAUAUCUGGAGGAACAUCAGUGGCAAAGGCGACUAUCUGGCACAUAACUGACGCUGAGGAGCGAAAGCGUGGGUAGCAAACAGGAUUAGAUACCCCUGUAGUC
rnacentral:rRNA from 1 species